rnacentral:tRNA from 1 species
AAGAUGUUAGUAUAAUAAUUACCUAGCCUUGUCGUGGCUAAAUUACUAGUUUGACCCUUGUACAUCUUA